UACGUAGGGGGCUAGCGUUGUCCGGAAUCAUUGGGCGUAAAGAGCGUGUAGGCGGCCCGGUAAGUCCGCUGUAAAAGUCAAAGGCUCAACCUUUGAAUGUCAGUGGAUACUGCCGGGCUAGAGUCCGGAAGAGGCGAGUGGAACUCCUGGUGUAGCGGUGGAAUGCGCAGAUAUCAGGAAGAACACCAACGGCGAAGGCAGCUCGCUAGGGACGGUACUGACGCUGAGACGCGAAAGCGUGGGGAGCGAACAGG
rnacentral:rRNA from 1 species